rnacentral:rRNA from 1 species
UACGAAGGGGGCUAGCGUUGCUCGGAAUCACUGGGCGUAAAGGGUGCGUAGGCGGGUCUUUAAGUCAGGGGUGAAAUCCUGGAGCUCAACUCCAGAACUGCCUUUGAUACUGAGGAUCUUGAGUACGGGAGAGGUGAGUGGAACUGCGAGUGUAGAGGUGAAAUACGUAGAGAUUGGGAAGAACACCAGUGGCGAAGGCGGCUAUCUGGACGGUUUCUGACACUAAGACUCGAAAGCGUGGGGAGCAAACAGG